GAUGAAGAACGCAGCGAAAUGCGAAAAGUAGUGUGAAUUGCAGAAUUCAGUGAAUCAUCGAAUCUUUGAACGCACAUUGCGCCCCCUGGUAUUCCGGGGGGCAUGCCUGUCCGAGCGUCAUUGCUGCCCAUCAAGCACGGCUUGUGUGUUGGGUCGUCGUCCCCCCCUCCGGGGGGGGACGGGCCCUAAAGGCAGCGGCGGCACCGCGUCCGAUCCUCGAGCGUAUGGGGCUUUGUCACCCGCUCUGUAGGCCCGGCCGGCGCUUGCCGAACGCAAAACAACCAUUCUUUCCAGGUUGACCUCGGAUCAGGUAGGGAUACCCGCUGAACUUAAGCAUAUCAAUAAGCGGAGGA
rnacentral:misc_RNA from 1 species